rnacentral:rRNA from 1 species
ACACGCUGGCGGCGUGCCUAACACAUGCAAGUCGAACGAGGUCCAAGGAAGCUUGCUUCCUGAAGACCUAGUGGCGAACGGGUGAGUAACACGUGAGAAACCUGCCUCGGAGUGGGGAAUAACUCGGGGAAACUCGAGCUAAUACCGCAUACCUUCACAUGAUCGCAUGGUCGAGUGAAGAAAGAAUUUCGCUCUGAGAGGGUCUCGCGGCCUAUCAGCUUGUUGGUGGGUAACGGCCUACCGAGGCAACGACGGGUAGCUGGUUUGAGAGAACGAUCAGCCACACUGGGACUGAGACACGGCCCAGACUCCUACGGGAGGCAGCAGUGGGAAUCUUGCGCAAUGGGCGAAAGCCUGACGCAGCAACGCCGCGUGCGGGAUGACGGCCUUCGUGGUUGUAAACCGCUUUCAGCAGGGACGAAAAUGACGGUACCUGCAGAAGAAGCCCCGGCUAACUACGUG